rnacentral:rRNA from 1 species
GUGGGGAAUUUUGGACAAUGGGCGCAAGCCUGAUCCAGCAAUGCCGCGUGCAGGAAGAAGGCCUUCGGGUUGUAAACUGCUUUUGUACGGAACGAAACGGUCCGGGUUAAUACCCUGGGCUAAUGACGGUACCGUAAGAAUAAGCACCGGCUAACUACGUGCCAGCAGCCGCGGUAAUACGUAGGGUGCAAGCGUUAAUCGGAAUUACUGGGCGUAAAGCGUGCGCAGGCGGUUUUGUAAGACAGGCGUGAAAUCCCCGGGCUCAACCUGGGAAUUGCGCUUGUGACUGCAAGGCUGGAGUGCGGCAGAGGGAGGUGGAAUUCCGCGUGUAGCAGUGAAAUGCGUAGAGAUGCGGAGGAACACCGAUGGCGAAGGCAGCCUCCUGGGAUAACACUGACGCUCAGGCACGAAAGCGUGGGGAGCAAACAGGAUUAGAAACCCGAGUAGUCC